rnacentral:misc_RNA from 1 species
UUCCAGUGGCUGGGUGCAGCGG